rnacentral:rRNA from 1 species
UAAGGUUAAGUUAAUAAGGGCGCACGGUGGAUGCCUUGGCACUAGAAGCCGAAGAAGGACGUGACAAACGACGAAAUGCUUUGGGGAGCUGUAAGUAAGCGCUGAUCCAGAGAUGUCCGAAUGGGGGAACCCACUAACUAAUGGUUAGUAUCCAUAACUGUUAAGGUUAUGAGAAGGAAGACGCAGUGAACUGAAACAUCUAAGUAGCUGCAGGAAGAGAAAGCAAACGCGAUUGCCUUAGUAGCGGCGAGCGAAACGGCAGGAGGGCAAACCGAAGUGUUUACACUUCGGGGUUGUAGGACUGCGACGUGGGACUUUAAAAGGAUAGAAGAAUUACCUGGGAAGGUAAGCCAAAGAGAGUAAAAGCCUCGUAUUUAAAAUUCUUUUGAGCCCUAGCAGUAUCCUGAGUACGGCGAGACACGUGAAAUCUCGUUGGAAUCUGGGAGGACCAUCUCCCAACCCUAAAUACUCUCUAGUGACCGAUAGUGAACCAGUACCGUGAGGGAAAGGUGAAAAGCACCCCGGGAGGGGAGUGAAAUAGAACCUGAAACCGUGUGCCUACAACAAGUUCGAGCCCGUUAAUGGGUGAGAGCGUGCCUUUUGUAGAAUGAACCGGCGAGUUACGAUAUGAUGCGAGGUUAAGUUGAAGAGACGGAGCCGUAGGGAAACCGAGUCUUAAUAGGGCGAUUUAGUAUCAUGUUGUAGACCCGAAACCAUGUGACCUACCCAUGAGCAGGUUGAAGGUGAGGUAAAACUCACUGGAGGACCGAACCAGGGCACGUUGAAAAGUGCUUGGAUGACUUGUGGGUAGCGGAGAAAUUCCAAACGAACUUGGAGAUAGCUGGUUCUCUCCGAAAUAGCUUUAGGGCUAGCGUCGAUGUUAAGUCUCUUGGAGGUAGAGCACUGUUUGGGUGAGGGGUCCAUCUCGGAUUACCAAUCUCAGAUAAACUCCGAAUGCCAACGAGAUAUCAUCGGCAGUCAGACUGCGAGUGCUAAGAUCCGUAGUCGAAAGGGAAACAGCCCAGACCACCAGCUAAGGUCCCAAAAUAACUGUUAAGUGGAAAAGGAUGUGGGGUUGCACAGACAACUAGGAUGUUAGCUUAGAAGCAGCUAUUCAUUCAAAGAGUGCGUAAUAGCUCACUAGUCGAGUGACCCUGCGCCGAAAAUGUACCGGGGCUAAAACAGUUUACCGAAGCUGUGGAUGACACAAAAGUGUCAUGGUAGGAGAGCGUUCUAUGUGUGAAGAAGGUGUACCGUGAGGAGCGCUGGAACGCAUAGAAGUGAGAAUGCCGGUAUGAGUAGCGAAAGACAGGUGAGAAUCCUGUCCACCGUAAGACUAAGGUUUCCAGGGGAAGGCUCGUCCGCCCUGGGUUAGUCGGGACCUAAGGAGAGACCGAAAGGUGUAUCCGAUGGCCAACAGGUUGAUAUUCCUGUACUAGAGUAUAUAGUGAUGGAGGGACGCAGUAGGCUAACUAAACCGGACGAUUGGAAGAGUCCGGCUAAGCAGUGAGGUGUAAGAUGAGUCAAAUGCUUAUCUUUAUAACAUUGAGCUGUGAUGGGGAGCGAAUUUUAGUAGCGAAGUUAGUGAUGUCACACUGCCAAGAAAAGCUUCUAGCGUUUAAUGAUACUCUACCCGUACCGCAAACCGACACAGGUAGUCGAGGCGAGUAGCCUCAGGUGAUCGAGAGAACUCUCGUUAAGGAACUCGGCAAAAUGACCCCGUAACUUCGGGAGAAGGGGUGCUGACUUAGGUCAGCCGCAGUGAAUAGGCCCAAGCAACUGUUUAUCAAAAACACAGCUCUCUGCUAAAUCGUAAGAUGAUGUAUAGGGGGUGACGCCUGCCCGGUGCUGGAAGGUUAAGAGGAGGGUUUAGCGCAAGCGAAGAUCUGAAUUGAAGCCCCAGUAAACGGCGGCCGUAACUAUAACGGUCCUAAGGUAGCGAAAUUCCUUGUCGGGUAAGUUCCGACCCGCACGAAAGGCGUAAUGAUUUGGGCACUGUCUCAACGAGAGACUCGGUGAAAUUUUAGUACCUGUGAAGAUGCAGGUUACCCGCGACAGGACGGAAAGACCCCAUGGAGCUUUACUGCAGUUUGAUAUUGAGUAUCUGUACCACAUGUACAGGAUAGGUAGGAGCCAUUGACUUCGGGACGCCAGUUUCGAAUGAGGCGUUGUUGGGAUACUACCCUUGUGUUAUGGCUACUCUAACCCAGAUAGGUUAUCCCUAUCGGAGACAGUGUCUGACGGGCAGUUUGACUGGGGCG